AGAGCGAACGCUGGCGGCAGGCCUAACACAUGCAAGUCGAGCGCCCCGCAAGGGGAGCGGCAGACGGGAGAGUAACACGUGGGAACGUACCCUUUGGUUCGGAACAACACAGGGAAACUUGUGCUAAUACCGGAUAAGCCCUUACGGGGAAAGAUUUAUCGCCAAAGGAUCGGCCCGCGUCUGAUUAGCUUGUUGGUGAGGUAACGGCUCACCAAGGCUACGAUCAGUAGCUGGUCUGAGAGGAUGAUCAGCCUCACUGGGACUGAGACACGGCCCAGACUCCUACGGGAGGCAGCAGUGGGGAAUAUUGGACAAUGGGCGCAAGCCUGAUCCAGCCAUGCCGCGUGGAUGAUGAAGGCCCUAGGGUUGUAAACUCCUUUCGAUCGGGAAGAUAAUGACGGUACCGAGAGAAGAGCCCCGGCUAACUUCGUGCCAGCAGCCGC
rnacentral:rRNA from 1 species